UACGGAGGAUGCAAGCGUUAUCCGGAAUGAUUGGGCGUAAAGCGUCCGCAGGUGGCUAUGUAAGUCUGCUGUUAAAGAGCAAGGCUCAACCUUGUAAAGGCAGUGGAAACUACGUAGCUAGAGUGCGUUCGGGGCAGAGGGAAUUCCUGGUGUAGCGGUGAAAUGCGUAGAUAUCAGGAAGAACACCAGUGGCGAAAGCGCUCUGCUAGGCCGCAACUGACACUGAGGGACGAAAGCUAGGGGAGCGAAUGGG
rnacentral:rRNA from 1 species